UAGCAGGCUCAAAUGAAUAAGCUGUACCUG
rnacentral:piRNA from 1 species